UACAGGGGGGGCAAGCGUUGUUCGGAAUUACUGGGCGUAAAGGGUCUGUAGGUGGCCAACUAAGUCAAACGUGAAAUCCCUCAGCUUAACUGGGGAACUGCGUCUGAUACUGGAUGGCUCGAGUGUGGGAGAGGAAUGCGGAAUUCCAGGUGUAGCGGUGAAAUGCGUAGAUAUCUGGAGGAACACCGGUGGCGAAGGCGGCAUUCUGGACCACAACUGACACUGAGAGACGAAAGCCAGGGGAGCAAACGGG
rnacentral:rRNA from 1 species